rnacentral:rRNA from 1 species
GUGCCUAAUACAUGCAAGUCGAGCGGACGGAUGGGAGCUUGCUCCCUGAAGUCAGCGGCGGACGGGUGAGUAACACGUGGGCAACCUGCCUGUAAGACUGGGAUAACUUCGGGAAACCGGAGCUAAUACCGGAUAAUGCAUUUCCCCUCAUGGGGAUAUGCUGAAAGAUGGUUUCGGCUAUCACUUACAGAUGGGCCCGCGGCGCAUUAGCUAGUUGGUGAGGUAACGGCUCACCAAGGCAACGAUGCSUAGGCNACCUGUGAGGGUGAUCGGCCACACUGGGACUGAGACACGGCCCAGACUCCUACGGGAGGCAGCAGUAGGGAAUCUUYCGCAAUGGACGAAAGUCUGACGGAGCAACGCCGCGUGAGUGAUGAAGGUUUUCGGAUCGUAAAACUCUGUUGUCAGGGAAGAACAAGUGCCGGAGUAACUGCCGGCACCUUGACGGUACCUGACCAGAAAGCCACGGCUAACUACGUGCCAGCAGCCGCGGUAAUACGUARGUGGCAAGCGUUGUCCGGAAUUAUUGGGCGUAAAGCGCGCGCAGGCGGUCUCUUAAGUCUGAUGUGAAAGCCCACGGCUCAACCGUGGAGGGUCAUUGGA